rnacentral:SRP_RNA from 1 species
UGUCGCCCCUCGUGCGGCGUACAUCCUGUGAACUCCCCCAGGGCCGGAAGGCAGCAAGGGUAAGCAGGCUCUGACGGGUGCACGAGGGGCCCCUUCU